AAAGCAGAAAAAGCCUAACCAAGAGACUGGAAAGAGCUAAUGAGAGACUUGCAGAGGCCAACACCCAGCUCUUUUUGGAGCGCCACAGAAGCAAAUCUGCAGUCCCAAGCAGCGCCAUCAGCGGACACCUGGCUGCAAGUCCACUUCUGGAUUCAACUGGCCUGGGACAUCUUGGCAUCAGUUUGGGACUGAGCAGAAGGCUGGGUCUCAGAACACAACUCAGCCAUCUGUGGUAAAGUGGAAGACUUCCGGUCAUCAGGUUGCUGAACUUUCCCAACAGCUGGAGAGGGAAUGUCAAAAGCGCAUGCAGCUGGAAGCCACAAGUCAGGGUUUGCAAGACAAGCUGUCUAGCCUGCGUGGGAAGUGAGAAAACCUGGAGAAGAGCAAAUGCCAGCUGCAAGAAGAGCUGGCAAAGCUCCAGCAUCAUUUGGAGACCAAUGUGGUGGGUGGCAGCCAGAUCAUGGCUAGGCUUGGCCAACAAAGAUUUGGAAGGGCUCUCCCCACA